rnacentral:rRNA from 1 species
GUGAACGCUGGCGGUAGGCCUAACACAUGCAAGUCGAACGGCAGCACAGUAAGAGCUUGCUCUUACGGGUGGCGAGUGGCGGACGGGUGAGGAAUACAUCGGAAUCUACUUUUUCGUGGGGGAUAACGUAGGGAAACUUACGCUAAUACCGCAUACGACCUACGGGUGAAAGCAGGGGAUCUUCGGACCUUGCGCGAUUGAAUGAGCCGAUGUCGGAUUAGCUAGUUGGCGGGGUAAAGGCCCACAAAGGCGACGAUCCGUAGCUGGUCUGAGAGGAUGAUCAGCCACACUGGAACUGAGACACGGUCCAGACUCCUACGGAAGGCAGAAGUGGGGAAUAUUGGACAAUGGGCGCAAGCCUGAUCCAGACAUACCGCGUGGGUGAAGAAGGCCUUCGGGUUGUAAAGCCCUUUUGUUGGGAAAGAAAAGCAGCAGGUUAAUAACCCGCUGUUCUGACGGUACCCAAAGAAUAAGCACCGGCUAACUUCGUG